GUCUAUAACCAUGCUAGCCUGAGCAAGCCCGAUCCCGACUGAUCUUGGAAGCUAAGCAGGGUCGGACCUGGUUAGUACUUGGAUAGGAGACCACCUAGGAAGACCAGGUGCUGUAGGCA
rnacentral:rRNA from 1 species